AUUGAACGCUGGCGGCAGGCCUAACACAUGCAAGUCGAGCGGAACGGCGGACGGGUGAGUAAUGCCUAGGAAUCUGCCUGGUAGUGGGGGAUAACGACCGGAAAAGGGCGCUAAUAUCGCAUACUAUCAGAUGAGACUAGGUCGGAUUAGCUAGUUGGUGGGGUAAAGGCCUACCAAGGCGCCGAUCCGUAACUGGUCUGAGAGGAUGAUAAGUAACACUGGAACUGAGACACGGUCCAGACGCCGACGGGAGGCAGCAGUGGGGAAUAUGGGACAAUGGGCGAAAGCCUGAUCCAGCCAUGCCGGUGGUGUGAAGAAGGUCUGCGGAUUGUAAAGCACUUUAAGUUGGGAGGCGUUACCAACAGAAUAAGCACCGGCUAACUUCGUGCCAGCAGCCGCGGUAACUC
rnacentral:rRNA from 1 species